rnacentral:lncRNA from 12 species
AGUAAUCUUUUUUUUUUUUUACUGAUUUAUAGCUUAAUAUCACUGUGAUCUGAGAUCUCUGCCCUUUGAAAUUUGUGGAGACUGGGUGAACCAGUGUAUGGCAAGUUUUGGUAAAUGUUCUUAUGCAUUUGAAAGAGAAUGUGUGUUCUGUUAUUGUUGGGGACUGCCUCCUGUUUUGAGCUUCUCUCCAUAUUUUGUUAUUGUUUUGCCUCUUCCCUCUUUUCAGACUCUAGCAUUGUAUCCUGUAAUGGGACUUCCUGUUGAGUGCUCCCCCACAUCCAACACCAAGGCCACUGAACGCCUCUUUACCAACAUGCCGGGCACAGAUACCAACCCAUGAAAGCAAUGCAUCGAAGAAGAUGUGUGUCUACCAUAGACUCAUACAAUGGUAAAUCUAAAGGAGGUUUACAGAUCAUCUGGUCCAAUCCACACAUAUCUGCCCAUUGAGGAAAUUAUGGAGGUCCAGAAAAUUGGGUGCCGUAUCCAGAGCCACACAGCCAGCUGGUGGCCAUGUGCCAGGAUUCAGGGC